CGGCGGACGGCUCAGGACAACGGUUGCACCCCCCGCGGCGGUCCCUGCUAGCCGGACACCGCUGGCAACCCGGCGCCAAGACGUGCGCGCAAGGGCGGGCGCCCGCGGGCGAGCAGCGUGACGCAGCGACGGCCCGCCCGGGCUUCCGGGGCAUCACCCGGUCGGCGCGGUCGCGGCGCGCCGAGGGCCCGACGCCUGGC
rnacentral:rRNA from 1 species